UCUUAUGAAUGAGCAAAGAAAGUAGGUUUUUGUUAUGGAAUCUACUCCUGGUGAAGAUUCUAUGAA
rnacentral:pre_miRNA from 1 species